AUUGAACGCUGGCGGCAUGCUUUACACAUGCAAGUCGAACGGUAACAGGUUAAGCUGACGAGUGGCGAACGGGUGAGUAAUGCAUCGGAACGUGCCCGAUCGUGGGGGAUAACGCAGCGAAAGCUGCGCUAAUACCGUAUACGAUCUGAGGAUGAAAGCGGGGGACCGUAAGGCCUCGCGCGAUCGGAGCGGCCGAUGUCAGAUUAGGUAGUUGGUGGGGUAAAGGCCCACCAAGCCGACGAUCUGUAGCUGGUCUGAGAGGACGACCAGCCACACUGGGACUGAGACACGGCCCAGACUCCUACGGGAGGCAGCAGUGGGGAAUUUUGGACAAUGGGCGAAAGCCUGAUCCAGCAAUGCCGCGUGCAGGAAGAAGGCCUUCGGGUUGUAAACUGCUUUUGUACGGAGCGAAAAGGUCCUUUCUAAUACAGGGGGCUCAUGACGGUACCGUAAGAAUAAGCACCGGCUAACUACGUGCCAGCCGCCGCAGUAA
rnacentral:rRNA from 1 species